GAUAUGGGCACAACAUGGCCUCAGCACAGAUACGACAUUUCUAUAACACACCAACAACAAUUUCUUCAACAACAACAACGACACGCCAACUUUUACAACAACAGAAGCACACAAACAAGCGGAAGCAAUUUCAAAACGAUACGUUUCUGUGGCACACACAAACACAAAGCGAAUCGGUGGCAGCAACAUCAACUGGAGCAGUCGGAGAAGGAGCAACACCAUGGCCCGAAGCAACAAUUGGAGCAGCGACAGAAACGCCAGGACCAGCCAUUGCAGCAACAUCAACAGCAGCAACAUCAAAACCAGCAACAGAUGAUGCACCAGCGAGUGCAACAACAAUAUGGCCAAGAAGGACCACAGAUGAGAUCGUUACCAAGCACCCAAGGAUGCAACAUCCAUUGGCAUCCAGCAGUGCUGCUGCAACAUGCAAUAUUGCUGUUGCUACUGCUACUGAGCAACAGCAAUGCAUUGCCUCUACUGCUGCUGCUACUACAGGGAUUUCGGAGCAGGAUUGCCGCCACACCACGAGCACUUGCCUAUCACGUCUAUCUUCCAAAGUCAGUCAAGACUCUACCAAUCAACAAAAACAGCAACAGCAACAGCCACAGCCACAACCAAAACAACAACAAGCGCAACGAAGACUCCUUCAACAACAAGGUGCCGCAAGGGACUCUGAUGCUUCCACUUCAACGACUCCGGGAGUCGGCAUCUUUACGGAUAUGCAAAAGUUUGCACGCUCUAUAUUUCCGCUGGUUAUCAUCUUCAAUCUGCUGCCUUUGUUCUAUGCAGGGGCAGGCGCUGCUCAUUUAAAGUCGCCCGGCGCAGAUGGGGAGCCUUGGAUGCAGCCGGUGGUGGCCUAUUUGGAGGUGUCGUCGCGACCCACAAAAUCGCCAAAGUGUGAUCAGACCUUCGUGUCGCGGAUCGGCGGACCCCAGAAUGGCAGCUUCUCGGCCCCGCUGCUGCACAACCAUCGCAAUCAUUCGCGCCAAUGCCUCUACACUUUCCUAGCAGGACCUGGACAGCGCGUCGAAGUAGUUUUUAAAUCAUUUAAUUUAAGAGGAAGUCCACCAGAUGGUUCGGCCGUCGGUGAAUUACCAAGUUGUGUUCAUGAGUACAUGGAUAUCUACUCGGAGGUGCAGUCGUCGGAGCCAGCGGAACUGAUCAAUUCGCCAUUCGGGGGCCGCUACUGCGGCACAAUUCCGCCGCGUCGUCGCAUUUCCAUGUACCGGGCAGUUGCGAUUUCAUUUUUUAGCAACAAGAACGUGUCUACGGAUCUGUUCGAGGGCACUUUUAGGUUUAUAAAUGCAUCGGAAUAUGAAAUUGGCAUUCCCAUUGCGGGGUCGCCAUGUUCCUACACGAUUACGCCAAGCAUGAGCGUCAACAAAACUGGUGCGCUCAUAUCGCCAACCUAUCCAGGUGCCUAUCCGAAGGAUAUGUCAUGCACAUAUCAGUUUCUUGGUGAAUCGAAUCAGAGAGUUAGAUUAGAGUUUCGUGAUUUUGAUCUAUUUUUUGGUGGACCACACUGCCCAUUUGACUAUGUGAAGGUGUACGAUGGUCCCGAUAAUUCGUCAGCAUUAAUCGGUACAUAUUGCGGGCAGCAAAGAAACUUAGUUUUGUAUUCGAGCGAGUCGAGCCUUUUUGUUCAUUUUUAUACGUUACCGCGCACCGCAAAUACCCAAAAUCGUGGCUUUAAAGGAAUUUAUGAAUUUAGCGAGAGUUUUGUUAAAUUAGAUUUUAUACGUGAAAAUGAUGGCAUUCACAUACGUGGCUCAGAAUGUGAUCAAAAGAUUUUAUCGAAGAAGGAGUCUACUGGCUUUGUGCUCUCACCCAACUAUCCCUAUCCCUAUAUACCAAAAACUGUGUGUAGAUAUUUCAUCUAUGGCAUGCAGGAUGCCCAGCAUCUGGAGCGUGUGCGCCUCGAGUUUAAUGCUUUCAAUAUUCCAAAAGUAGAGCACAAGGACAAGAGCGAGUCCAACUGUACGGACGGCUAUCUGAAGAUCUAUCUGAAGGGCCAGGAGACGGCCGAUGCCUAUGACAAGUUCGACUACGAACUCUGUGGCAAUGAAACCCAACGCGUGAUCAGCGAGGGUCCCCGGUUGGCCAUGGUCUUCAGUUCUGGCGAACUGCAAGGUCGCGGCUUUAAGGGCAAGUACACAUUUGAGACGGAGUACAAGAUCCCGGGAACGGCGGCUCCGGACGGCACCUGCAGCUUCACUUACGUAAGCAGCUCGAAGAAACGCGGCGAACUGAAUAGUCCGCGCUACCCCUCCAACUAUCCGUCGGACACGAACUGCUCCUACCUGUUCCUGGGCGAGGCCAAUGAGCAGGUGACCAUCGUGUUCGAUCACUUCAAGAUCAAGGCUGAUAACAAUGCGAAUGCCACAGCGGGAGCAUAUGGCUCCGGCGCCUGUUUUGAAGACUGGCUAGAGAUGUAUGUCGUCUAUCGGGACAACAACGAUCGCCUACUGGGACGCUACUGCGGGCAGACGGCCCCCGGACCCGUCGAGAGCCCACGGGGAGCAGUGGGGCUGCGCAUCACCCUGCACACGGACCAGGAGAGCGUGGCCAGCGGCUUCAAGGCCCGCUACUUCUUCGAGUCGGCCAAAUCGGACGCCGGCGACUGUGGCGGCAAUUUCAGCAACCAGGACUCGGGUAUCAUCACCUCGCCCAACUGGCCGGCGGGCUAUAAGGCUCCGGGUCGUGGCAUGGCCUCCAACGCCUGCAACUGGGUGAUGACCGCCCGACCAGGCUAUAAGCUGUCCAUUCACUUUGAGCAGUUCGGUCUGGAAGGAGAUCCAGCAAAUCGCGGCUGUCCUGCUGCAGUGCUGCGUCUGUGGAUGAAUGUGGAUUCAGACCAGCCGCCCUUGGAGCUGUGUGGAGAGAAGCCACCCGUGGAGCACUGGCACUACACCUCCACUGGCCAGACGGCGCGGAUCAGUUUCACGACCAGCGACAAGACAGUGGGCGCUCAGGGCUUCCGCAUUGUGUGGACCGAGAUUCAAGACUCCGGUCCGGGCCCGCCGUCCGUGGGCCUGCACUGCGAGUCCACGUACCACUUCCAGUGCGGAGCCGGAUACUGCAUCUCGGACAAGCUGAGAUGCGACGGCGUCAAGAACUGUGGGCCCGGCGACGAUACUGACGAAUUGCACUGUGACGCAAGCUCCACGCAUUUGCCCACAUUUCUACAGACACUUGUUUUAGCAAUUAUGGCAUUAGUGUUAAAUACGUACAACUAAAAUCACAUGACAAGAAUCACGAGAGAUCAAAACUCGAAAAAUCAAAAUUUUUAAAUCGAAAUUGGAAUUGCCACGAGAAUCAAAACGAACAAAAAAUCCAAAGUAUUAUAUACAUAUAAGCGAAAAGCGAGAAGCAUUACUAAGUAACAUGUUAACAUAAAUGAAACAUUCUAAUAGCGAGAAUUUGUACUCAUUUUUCUAAACAACAACGCCAAGCAACAAAACAAACAAAAUCUAUUACUCUAAUACUUAAGUAAAUAAAAACAAAACUCUUUGGUCUCAAUAAACACGUACCACGGAAGCGGCCGAGGAGGAUCACGACGUUCUAAUUAUAAUAACACUCUUCGUCGCCUCGUCCCUAAUCUG
rnacentral:misc_RNA from 1 species